GUAGGUGGCAAGCGUUGUCCGGAAUUAUUGGGCGUAAAGCGCGCGCAGGUGGUUCUUUAAGUCUGAUGUGAAAGCCCCCGGCUCAACCGGGGAGGGUCAUUGGAAACUGGGGAGCUUGAGUGCGGGAGAGGAAAGUGGAAUUCCACGUGUAGCGGUGAAAUGCGUAGAUAUGUGGAGGAACACCAGUGGCGAAGGCGACUUUCUGGCCUGUAACUGACACUGAGGCGCGAAAGCGUGGGGAGCAAACAGGGAUUAGAUACCCUGGUAGUCCACGCCGUAAACGAUGAGUGCUAAGUGUUGGGGGGGUUUCCCGCCCCUCAGUGCUGCAGCUAACGCAUUAAGCACUCCGCCUGGGGAGUACGGUCGCAAGACUG
rnacentral:rRNA from 1 species